rnacentral:rRNA from 1 species
GACGAACGCUGGCGGCGUGCCUAAUACAUGCAAGUAGAACGCUGAAGGAGGAGCUUGCUUCUCUGGAUGAGUUGCGAACGGGUGAGUAACGCGUAGGUAACCUGCCUGGUAGCGGGGGAUAACUAUUGGAAACGAUAGCUAAUACCGCAUAAGAGUAGAUGUUGCAUAACAUUUGCUUAAAAGGUGCAAUUGCAUCACUACCAGAUGGACCUGCGUUGUAUUAGCUAGUUGGUGGGGUAACGGCUCACCAAGGCAACGAUACAUAGCCGACCUGAGAGGGUGAUCGGCCACACUGGGACUGAGACACGGCCCAGACUCCUACGGGAGGCAGCAGUAGGGAAUCUUCGGCAAUGGACGGAAGUCUGACCGAGCAACGCCGCGUGAGUGAAGAAGGUUUUCGGAUCGUAAAGCUCUGUUGUAAGAGAAGAACGAGUGUGAGAGUGGAAAGUUCACACUGUGACGGUAUCUUACCAGAAAGGACGGCUAACUAC